rnacentral:rRNA from 1 species
UACAGAGGGGGCAAGCGUUGUUCGGAAUUACUGGGCGUAAAGGGCGCGUAGGCGGCCUUCUAAGUCGAACGUGAAAUCCCCGGGCUCAACCCGGGAACUGCGUCCGAUACUGGAAGGCUUGAAUCCGGGAGAGGGAUGCGGAAUUCCAGGUGUAGCGGUGAAAUGCGUAGAUAUCUGGAGGAACACCGGUGGCGAAGGCGGCAUUCUGGACCAAUAUUGACGCUGAGGAGCGAAAGCCAGGGGAGCAAAGCGGG